AACCACUUCAACAGGAGAAUCAUUUCUAUAGUAUUUGUCUCUUGCUUUGGUUCCCAAAAGAGCCAUCGAAUCCACCCUGGUUGAUGAUUGCAUAUCCUCGACAUCCAAGAGUGAAUUUCCCGGUCCUCUCGCACCGUCCGCAAGGAUGGCGGCAGAAGCCUCGCGCAUCUGCUGUAUAGAGAGUUGUUUUCUCUUGAUGAUCUCGACCCUGUCGGCGGUCAUGCCUUCGGGCGCGCUGGCAGGGUGGAUGUCGAUGGACGUCUGACAGGC
rnacentral:snoRNA from 1 species